GACGAACGCUGGCGGCGUGCUUAACACAUGCAAGUCGAGCGGUAAGGCCCUUUCGGGGUACACGAGCGGCGAACGGGUGAGUAACACGUGGGUGACCUGCCCUCAGCUCUGGGAUAAGCCCGGGAAACUGGGUCUAAUACCGGAUAUGACUUCAUGACGCAUGUUGUGGAGUGGAAAGCCUUGUGCGGCUGAGGAUGGGCCCGCGGCCUAUCAGCUUGUUGGGGGUGAUGGCCUACCAAGGCGACGACGGGUAGCCGGCCUGAGAGGGCGACCGGCCACACUGGGACUGAGAUACGGCCCAGACUCCUACGGGAGGCAGCAGGU
rnacentral:rRNA from 1 species